rnacentral:rRNA from 1 species
AUUGAACGCUGGCGGCAGGCCUAACACAUGCAAGUCGAACGAGUGGCGGACGGGUGAGUAGUGUCGGGGAAACUGCCUGAUGGAGGGGGAUAACUACUGGAAACGGUAGCUAAUACCGCAUACCCUCAGAUGUGCCCAGAUGGGAUUAGCUGGUUGGUGGGGUAACGGCUCACCAAGGCGACAAUCCCUAGCUGGUCUGAGAGGGUGACCGGCCACACUGGAACUGAGACACGGUCCAGACUCCUACGGUAGGCAGCAGUGGGGAAUAUUGCACAAUGGGCGAAAGCCUGAUGCAGCCACGCCGCGUGUAUGAAGAAGGCCUUCGGGUUGUAAAGCACUUUCGGCGGUGAGGCGUUACCCGCAGAAGAAGCACCGGCUAACUCCGUGCCAGCAGCCGCGGUAAUAC